rnacentral:rRNA from 1 species
CAUCGAGUGUUAAAUAUGCUAGUCCUUUCAUGAUUAUGUGAUAGGUGGUGCAUGGCCGUUCUUAGUUCGUGGAGUGAUCUGUCUGCUUAAUUGCGUUUCACUAAGGGCCCAUAAAUUCAAGGUAUGUUAGCUCUCGUCGCUCUAUGGACCCCUUAACUCCAAUAUUCUUAUUGUGUUAAGCGCGUGUCUUUAUUUUAAGAGUUUUAAGACACUGCGCAUG